rfam:Clostridiales bacterium PH28_bin88 ph28_9, whole genome shotgun sequence.
CAGAAUCUGAGAGGAAGGAAGCUGGCGCCAAAUUCCCAACCUGAGGUACAGGAACCGCAUCUGAGGCUGUUACAUCCAGGAGAAACUGCCAUACAAGUUAAAGCCCAAUACUGUCAAGGGAUGUAGCGGUAGAUCUGCUGGUAAGCUCUUACA